UACGGAGGGUGCGAGCGUUGUCCGGAAUCAUUGGGCGUAAAGGGCGCGUAGGUGGCCUGGCAAGCGUGCGGUGAAAGCUCGGGGCUCAACCCCGAGUCGGCCGUGCGAACUGCUAUGGCUCGAGCACUGUAGAGGCAGGCGGAAUUCCGGGUGUAGCGGUGGAAUGCGUAGAGAUCCGGAAGAACACCGGUGGCGAAGGCGGCCAGCUGGGCCAGGUCCGACACUGAGGCGCGAAAGCGUGGGGAGCAAACAGG
rnacentral:rRNA from 1 species